AGUGAACGCUGGCGGUAGGCCUAACACAUGCAAGUCGAACGGCAGCACAGUAAGAGCUUGCUCUUACGGGUGGCGAGUGGCGGACGGGUGAGGAAUACAUCGGAAUCUACUUUUUCGUGGGGGAUAACGUAGGGAAACUUACGCUAAUACCGCAUACGACCUACGGGUGAAAGCAGGGGAUCUUCGGACCUUGCGCGAUUGAAUGAGCCGAUGUCGGAUUAGCUAGUUGGCGGGGUAAAGGCCCACCAAGGCGACGAUCCGUAGCUGGUCUGAGAGGAUGAUCAGCCACACUGGAAAUGAGACACGGUCCAGAAUCCUACGGGAGGCAGGAGUGGGGAAUAUUGGACAAUGGGCGCAAGCCUGAUCCAGCCAUAACGCGUGGGUGAAGAAGGCCUUCGGGUUUUAAAGCCCUUUUGUUGGGAAAGAAAAGCAGCAGGUUAAUAACCCGCUGUUCUGAAGGUACCCAAAGAAUAAGCACCGGCUAACUUCGUG
rnacentral:rRNA from 1 species